CCUAAUUCUAGGUCACGUGACUUAGGGCAAAUGUCCGCGGCUUUCGCUGUUCUUGUUGGAACAGCUAAAAUGCGCAAAAAGUCGGCUUUGACUACAUACAUAUACUAUUAACACUAUUAACUCUAUGAGUAAAAGUGACACUUUCAAAAUGGUGGGCAGCAAGGGGUACAACAAGGCGGGGGACGACGAGUACAAGGUUCACAAACACAAGGACUAUAACAAGUGCAGCAUGGUAUCAUACAUGGACAACGUAUAUAUAUAGCAGGAGUGCCGAAUGGAAUGCCGCCAGUUGCAGGUUUACAACAAGCUCCAUUGCUUGUAUUCGAUGUAUUCGACAUUUUGGAAAAAGUGUGCAGAAUAUUUUAUUUCGAUACUACAAAUUUUAUGAACAUCUGUCAAAUAUAUAAUUUUAUAACUAAGACAACAUUUGAAGCAUGGAGCUCUUGAUGUAUCUAACACCAUAUUUUUCAGCAGCAGCUUUUACCCAAGUAGAAUAUAGACCCAAAAUCGCUAAUUUUGGAACAUACCAAAAUUCCGCCGCUAGACGCGGACAACAUAAUUCAUAAGCUGAUGUUUUAAAAUCCCACAGUACCACAAAACUUAUAAGUGAUACAUUUUGUCAAGUAUAAAUAUUUAAAUAUACAUAGUACAUAUAGUAGUACCUACCCUAACUUAACCUGACUUGCAUAAAUCGUUUAUUUUUUUCAAAAUUUCGUGGAAACACUAAUAAGUUUGCCAACCCGCCCAAUAUAAGACGGAGUUUAGGUUUAUUCUAUGUGCUAGCAAAGAAAAAUUGCGCUUUAGCAGUCAGCACUCUUUGAAUAUAUAGUAAAAAUAUAGCAUUUAUAUAUUAUCUAGGGCAUACUAGCUUCAGAUCAGACCAAGACCAAGUCAAAUCGGUUAGAAGUUAUUUGUUUAUGUAAGUGGAUAUUUUACGUAACCAAUUAGAAAUUUGCAUAUUUCAGGUAAAUAAUAACUAGAUAUCCAUGCAAUAUAAAUACUUUUGUGACAAGCAGAGAAAAAAUAACAAUUUUCAAAACCUGAGGAAAAAUUAUAAGUGUACUAAUGGAUAAUAAAUCUCCAAUCUGCGAUCCUUGCUUAUUCUGUUACAGAAUAUUUGACCCUCCUUAUUGUACUGCUUGGAAUCCUCCGUUUUAUGCUCGAUGUGUGUACCUGCCUGGCGGAGUCCCAAACAAUCCUGGGUGCUGUUGUCCUCCCUGUCCCUAAGUGAUGGAGUUUUUGUUUAAUAUGGAAGAAUAUAUGCAAAAAUGUUAUAGUACCUACCA